rnacentral:tRNA from 1 species
AUUUAAAUAGUUUAAUAUAAAAUAUUGAUUUGUGAUAUCAAUGAUAUAAGAUAAUUAUUUUAGAUA